rnacentral:rRNA from 1 species
UACGUAGGGUGCAAGCGUUAAUCGGAAUUACUGGGCGUAAAGCGUGCGCAGGCGGUUUUUUAAGUCUGACGUGAAAGCCCCGGGCUUAACCUGGGAAUUGCGUUGGAGACUGCAAGGCUUGAAUCUGGCAGAGGGGGGUAGAAUUCCACGUGUAGCAGUGAAAUGCGUAGAGAUGUGGAGGAACACCGAUGGCGAAGGCAGCCCCCUGGGUCAAGAUUGACGCUCAUGCACGAAAGCGUGGGGAGCAAACAGG